rnacentral:rRNA from 2 species
UACGGAGGAUCCGAGCGUUAUCCGGAUUUAUUGGGUUUAAAGGGUGCGUAGGCGGCCUUUUAAGUCAGCGGUGAAAGUCUGUGGCUCAACCAUAGAAUUGCCGUUGAAACUGGGGGGCUUGAGUAUGUUUGAGGCAGGCGGAAUGCGUGGUGUAGCGGUGAAAUGCUUAGAUAUCACGCAGAACCCCGAUUGCGAAGGCAGCCUGCCAAGCCAUGACUGACGCUGAUGCACGAAAGCGUGGGGAUCAAACAGG